AAGAGCAGACUUUAUAAUGAUUGGCUCUGUCCUUUGUUUCUCAGCAUGCAGAGAGGAAAGGGAUUUCACUUUCUUUCUAAUUCUGAUGCAACGUCUUAUUCAUUACAAGCCUACUGCAAUCCUUCAAAUCAACUUUGGUUGCUUUUUGUUUCCUAAUCCCUUUAGGGAAAUGGGAAUCUGAUACAGACUGAUUUUUGUUCAGCCGACGGUUCUGUGGCUGAUGUGCGCUUUUAAUGCGUUAAAAUGGAAACGCUCCCUGAGGAUGCAGCCUAAGUGGCGUGCAGCCAACUCAUCCACCCGCAUUCCUGUUUGUUCUGGUAAUGAGUGAAGAGGUGCACGCGUCCCGCCUGCUGAGUGAAGAAAAGGACGAGGGAGCAGAGGGAGCAUGCUGUUUCAACAGAUAGGAGAAUCCGCAGGGAUUCAACGUCUACAUGUGCGAUGGGAGCUGGAGAUGAAUACUUCAUCUCUGACCCAUUUAAUGGCGCUAUCUGAGGCUCGGUGAUCGCUCCUGGUGCAGCGGCUCCUCUGUGCGCAUUGUCCCCAUCUCCUCUAGCCCGGAUUCUGCGCUCCUCUCCUCUCCUCUCUGCUCCUCUCCUUUACUCUUCCUCUCUCCAUCUCUCCGUCCGAAGGCAGAGAGGAGGGAGGAAUAGAGCGAGCUUCUGCUGUGGAAAAAGGGACGGAAACGGAAAAAGUAUAGAAGAAGCAAAUGAUCACGGCCUCCGUGUGCAGGACUGAACCCUAAAGG